UGAAGCCGGGCACUUUUCAGUAACCGUGAUCAAUUUUAAUUUCUUAUUUUCACUGUUUUUCAACAAUAUUAGGAGCUAUUUACGGUGGGCGACAAAUUUUAGGAACAUCUUAAUCAAUAUAAAAUUGAUAUCGGCGUGGAUUUUCGUGUUUAAAUACCUAAAUACAGUGUCAUGGAGAUAGUCGUUUUAUGGGCUGCUGCGGAAGAAAAUGUCUUCAGAAUCUUGAGCAAAUCGAUUGCAGGAUACUUCGAGAGAAAAGCCAGUAUAUACUUCUCACAGGUACAUCUAUUUAUAACAUUAUUUCUGACAAGUGGCUCAAUGUUUACAGAGGAAAAGUUGCUGAACUUACUAGAAGCGAUUUUUGAUCAUUUCAUACUUAUCUAUUUUGUUUUGUUUCAGAGAGUAGCUACAUUAAUAAUUUUAGAUUAUCAAAAGAUGCAUUUCGGACUUUGUAUCAUGACUUAGGACCAUAUCUGGAGUUCCAAUGCUCUACAACUGUGCAAUCGACUUUAAGUGACAAAUGCCCUCAAUCAGCCUGCAAUCGUGAGAUAAUAUAUCAAGUUUCCUCGGACAAAAACUGAGCAUGUAGAAUUCUCCAGAGGUUUUAAUGACAAAUUUGGAUUUCUUGGAGUACUUGGAUGCAUCCACGGCACACACAUUGCCAUUAUCCAACCUCACAAGUGGGAAGAGGCCUUCUUCAAUAGCAAGUAUUACCAUUCAUUGCAUGUUAUGUUGGUUUGUGAUGGAGAUAUGUGCAUUACAUUUGUGAUGCAUCCAAUGGGAGUGUUAGUGCUAGACUGCUAGCCAAGAUAACCAUAUUUGGAACAACAGCACUUUGAGAAGGGAAAAGGAACAUCUCCUUAAUUUAAAUAUUAAGU